rnacentral:rRNA from 1 species
GACGAACGCUGGCGGCGUGCUUAACACAUGCAAGUCGAACGGUGAAGCGAGUGCUUGCACUCGUGGAUCAGUGGCGAACGGGUGAGUAACACGUGAGUAACCUGCCCAUCACUCUGGGAUAAGCACUGGAAACGGUGUCUAAUACUGGAUACGACCAACCCUUGCAUGGGGUGUUGGUGGAAAGAUUUAUCGGUGAUGGAUGGACUCGCGGCCUAUCAGCUUGUUGGCGGGGUAAUGGCCCACCAAGGCGACGACGGGUAGCCGGCCUGAGAGGGUGACCGGUCACACUGGGACUGAGACACGGCCCAGACUCCUACGGGAGGCAGCAGUGGGGAAUAUUGCACAAUGGGCGAAAGCCUGAUGCAGCGACGCCGCGUGAGGGAUGACGGCCUUCGGGUUGUAAACCUCUUUCAGCAGGGAAGAAGCGGAAGUGACGGUACCUGCAGAAGAAGCACCGGCUAACUACGUG